rnacentral:misc_RNA from 1 species
AACCUAGCACACCUGCGGUGUGUACCUGCGGAGGGAUCAUCAUCGAAUUCAUAUCCCCCUCCUCUCCCGGAGGGGGACCCAUGAUAAACCCUUCUGUGCACCGUAAACCGUUCACUUUGGCAGGCUUUGGUGGUGAGCGUGAGCUCGCCUCCAACCUCGCGUUCCUCCCUCACUUAAGGGCGUUACGCGUGGCGGCCUGCCGGAGUCCUAUUAAAAAACUCGUUUUCGAACACGUCUGAA